rnacentral:rRNA from 1 species
GUGAAAAACUCGUUCGCCGGAAGACCAAGGGUUCCUGUCCAACGUUAAUCGGGGCAGGGUGAGUCGGCCCCUAAGGCGAGGCUGAAAAGCGUAGUCGAUGGGAAACGGGUUAAUAUUCCCGUACUUGUCUUCAUUGCGAUGUGGGGACGGAGAAGGUUAGGUUAGCAGACUGUUGGAUGUCUGUUUAAGUUGGUAGGUGGGGAGCUUAGGCAAAUCCGGGCUCCUAUUAACACUGAGAGAUGAUGACGAGUUUCUACGGAAAUGAAGUAACUGAUACCACGCUUCCAGGAAAAGCCACUAAGCGAAAGGCUUUACUAAACCGUACUGAAAACCGACACAGGUGGUCAGGUAGAGAAUACUCAGGCGCUUGAGAGAACUCGGGUGAAGGAACUAGGCAAAAUAGCACCGUAACUUCGGGAGAAGGUGCGCUGGCGUAGGUUGU